rnacentral:rRNA from 1 species
AUUGAACGCUGGCGGCAGGCCUAACACAUGCAAGUCGAACGCGUGGCGGACGGGUGAGUAAUGUCUGGGAAACUGCCCGAUGGAGGGGGAUAACUACUGGAAACGGUAGCUCAUACCGCAUACCCUCGGAUGUGCCCAGAUGGGAUUAGCUCGGAGGUGGGGUAACGGCUCACCUAGGCGACGAUCCCUAGCUGGUCUGAGAGGAUGACCAGCCACACUGGAACUGAGACACGGUCCAGACUCCUACGGGAGGCAGCAGUGGGGAAUAUUGGACAAUGGGCGCAAGCCGGAUGCAGCCAUGCCGCGUGUAUGAAGAAGGCCUUCGGGUUGUAAAGUACUUUCGGCGGAGAGGCGGUACUCGCAGAAGAAGCACCGGCUAACUCCGUGCCAGCAGCCGCGGUAAUUC